rnacentral:misc_RNA from 1 species
GAGAUUUUGAUCUCUCCCAAUUUCUGAUGCAAUUUCUCACCGAUUUCCAUGGAUUCUAAGCCUCCUCAGCCUGCAGCUUCUAAUCCUCCACCAAAACCUUGGGAACGAGUAGGGGGAUCGUCGGGUUCGGCACCUUUUAGACCACCAUCAGCUGGCAAUACAAGUGAUGUAGUAGAGGCUUCUGGGACUGCAAAACCUGGAGAAAUUGUUUCUAGCUCUGAUAGGACUGCUGCUAUUAAUAGGAACUCACUUGGCCGGCCUGUUCCAACAAGGCCUUGGGAGCAAAACUAUGGGAAUAACAGCUAUGGAGGAGCUUAUGGUUCAACUAUGAAUAAUUCUCUUUACGGUUCUGGGAUGUAUGGUUCUUCUUCUUAUGGUGGAGGAUUGUAUGGGGGUGGAAUGUAUGGGAACAGCAUGUAUAGACCAGGAGGGUACGGUGGGCUUUAUGGAUCUUCUGGUAUGUAUGGAAAUAGUGGUAUGUAUGGAAGUGGAAUGUAUAAUAGUGGCCUUGGAGGUCCAAUGGGCGGCUAUGGAAUGGGCAUGGGCGGUCCUUAUGGUGGUCAAGAUCCAAAUGACCCUUAUGGUCCUCCCUCAUCUCCUCCAGGAUUUUGGAUGUCAUUUCUGCAAGUGAUGCAUGGUGUUGUGAACUUCUUUGGUCGAAUAUCUAUUCUUAUUGACCAAAACACACAGGCGUUCCAUAUGUUCAUGACUGCACUACUUCAGCUUUUUGACCGCUCCGGUAUGUUAUAUGGAGAGCUUGCUAGAUUUGUCUUGAGGAUACUUGGAAUUAAAACCAAACCUAGGAAGGUUCAAAAUGUAGGCCCUGAUGGGCUUCCUCUUCCUGGAGCCCCCCAUCCCCAUCAAGGCCAGAACUUGAUCGAGGGACCGAAGGCCGCUCCUGAUGGUACUUGGGAUAAUGUUUGGCCGAAUGGUUCCCAGUAGAUGAACAAAUGUACUUAAUAUUUGAAGGUAUACUCAAAACAAGAAGGAUACUGGAAGAUAUUGAUAGGACAGAACUGAGAUGUGAUUCCAAG